rnacentral:rRNA from 1 species
AUUGAACGCUAGCGGGAUGCCUAACACAUGCAAGUCGAACGGAGUGGCGAACGGGUGAGUAAUGUAUCGGAACGUGCCCUUUAGCGGGGGAUAACUACGAGAAAGAGUAGCUAAUACCGCAUACUAUUCGAGCGGUCGAUGUCGGAUUAGCUAGGUGGUGGGGUAACGGCUCACCAAGGCGACGAUCCGUAGCUGGUCUGAGAGGAUGACCAGCCACACUGGAACUGAGGCACGGCCCAGACUCCUACGGGAGGCAGCAGUGGGGAAGUUUGGACAAUGGGGGCAAGCCUGAUCCAGCCAUCCCGCGUGUGUGAAGAAGGCCUUCGGGUUGUAAAGCACUUUUGGCAGGGAAGCGGUACCUGCAGAAGAAGCACCGGCUAACUACGUGCCAGCAGCCGCGGUAAGUC